AUCACUUCAAAUUUUCUACUGCAUAUUCAUUACCCAAUCACUUCAAAAUCAUCAUACUAAAUUACUAAUCAUUCCAUCAAGCAAAACAUUAUAAAGGGAAUAAUUUUUUUUCAAAUCAUGGGCAAUCAGAACCGGAAAAUACAGGGGAUUGGGGAAUAUCACAUUAUAAAUAGAACUUCUUACGGUGAAGACUGAAGAGGAAGCCGGCGAGCUGAAGACUGAACUUUGAAGUCUGAAGAGAAAACUGUUGAUGUUGGGGAAAAAAAAGAGAUCGAUGCCGCUGUUGAUGAAGAGUGAAGACUAAAGAGGAAACCGUUGAUAAUGGAAAUAAAGAGAGAGGGGCAGAGAGCUGUUGAUGAAGAGUAGAAGAAUGAACUCUGAAGUCUUAAGAGAAAACAGUUGGCCUGGAGGAAAAAACAAGAUCGCUGCCAUGGAUGAGAUCGCCUGUAGCUGUUGAAGAG
rnacentral:lncRNA from 1 species